rnacentral:rRNA from 1 species
AGCGAACGCUGGCGGCAGGCUUAACACAUGCAAGUCGAGCGGGCACUUCGGUGUCAGCGGCAGACGGGUGAGUAACACGUGAGAACGUACCCUUCGGUUCGGAAUAACGCUGGGAAACUAGCGCUAAUACCGGAUACGCCCUUUUGGGGAAAGGUUUACUGCCGAAGGAUCGGCCCGCGUCUGAUUAGCUAGUUGGUGGGGUAAUGGCCUACCAAGGCGACGAUCAGUAGCUGGUCUGAGAGGAUGAUCAGCCACACUGGGACUGAGACACGGCCCAGACUCCUACGGGAGGCAGCAGUGGGGAAUAUUGGACAAUGGGCGCAAGCCUGAUCCAGCCAUGCCGCGUGAGUGAUGAAGGCCUUAGGGUUGUAAAGCUCUUUUGUCCGGGACGAUAAUGACGGUACCGGAAGAAUAAGCCCCGGCUAACUUCGUG